UACGUAGGCAGCGAGCGUUGUUCGGAGUUACUGGGCGUAAGAGUGCGUAGGCGGUUUUCUAAGUUUGGUGUGAAAUCUCCCGGCUCAACUGGGAGGGUGCGCCGAAGACUGGAAGACUAGAGUGUGGGAGAGGUAAGCGGAAUUCCUGGUGUAGCGGUGAAAUGCGUAGAUAUCAGGAGGAACACCUGCGGUGUAGACGGCUUACUGGACCACCACUGACGCUGAGGAGCGAAAGCUAGGGGAGCAAACGGG
rnacentral:rRNA from 1 species